GUUUUGUUUUUUGGUUUCAUGUAGUCCCACUUGUUUAUUUUUGGCUUUAUUGUUUUCACUUUUGAUGUCAGAUUGAGAAAAAACUCAUCUCCAAGACCUGUGUCAGGGAGCUUGUUGCCUACGUUUUCUUCCAGGAGUGUUACGAUUCCAGGUUUUAUGUUCAUCUUUAAUUUUUAGUUUAGUCCUUCAGCCACUAGAUGGAUUUGACUACAUUAAGUACGGGCUGCACCCCCUUACCCCUAACCCUGCUUUUUAAAAAUUAUAAAUGGUGACCAAGUUAAAGAAAGGACCAUUGAGAACUUAGAGUUCUGGAGUUAUUCAUAGGAUGAAUGUGUGGAACUUUUUUUUUUUUUGGUAUGAGUUAACAAUACAAAUGACCUUUUACUUGGAACUAUUCCUGGACUAGGUGUAGGAGUGAUUCAGUCUAUGUCUUUGUAACACAACCGAUGGGCAACAAAAAAAAAAAAAAAAAAAAAAAAAAAAAAAA